GCUGAUGGAGCACACCGCGUGAGUGAAGAAGGGUUUCGGCUCGUAAAGCUCUGUUGUUAAAGAAGAACACGUAUGAGAGUAACUGUUCAUACGUUGACGGUAUUUAACCAGAAAGUCACGGCUAACUACGUGCCAGCAGCCGCGGUAAUACGUAGGUGGCAAGCGUUAUCCGGAUUUAUUGGGCGUAAAGAGAGUGCAGGCGGUUUUCUAAGUCUGAUGUGAAAGCCUUCGGCUUAACCGGAGAAGUGCAUCGGAAACUGGAUAACUUGAGUGCAGAAGAGGGUAGUGGAACUCCAUGUGUAGCGGUGGAAUGCGUAGAUAUAUGGAAGAACACCAGUGGCGAAGGCGGCUACCUGGUCUGCAACUGACGCUGAGACUCGAAAGCAUGGGUAGCGAACAGGAUUAGAUACCCUGGUAGUCCAUGCCGUAAACGAUGAGUGCUAGGUGUUGGAGGGUUUCCGCCCUUCAGUGCCGGAGCUAACGCAUUAAGCACUCCGCCUGGGGAGUACGACCGCAAGGUUGAAACUCAAAGGAAUUGACGGGGGCCCGCACAAGCGGUGGAGCAUGUGGUUUAAUUCGAAGCUACGCGAAGAACCUUACCAGGUCUUGACAUCUUGCGCCAACCCUAGAGAUAGGGCGUUUCCUUCGGGAACGCAAUGACAGGUGGUGCAUGGUCGUCGUCAGCUCGUGUCGUGAGAUGUUGGGUUAAGUCCCGCAACGAGCGCAACCCUUGUUACUAGUUGCCAGCAUUAAGUUGGGCACUCUAGUGAGACUGCCGGUGACAAACCGGAGGAAGGUGGGGACGACGUCAGAUCAUCAUGCCCCUUAUGACCUGGGCUACACACGUGCUACAAUGGACGGUACAACGAGUCGCGAACUCGCGAGGGCAAGCAAAUCUCUUAAAACCGUUCUCAGUUCGGACUGC
rnacentral:rRNA from 2 species